CUUUUUCUUCCCCUCAGCGAAUUUCAUGCAUUCUACUCCCCUCUUUUCUUGCUAUAGCUUUAUUAACUAGUUUAAAAUCACACAACACCCCCCCCCCCACAUGCAAAAAAUAAAAAAAUGAUUCUUUUAUUCCUUUUUACAAUUUUUAUUUUCAAUCUACUCAUUUGUUUUUGUUCCUACGAAUCCUUUUUGUUUUUACUGAGGUUAAGAAAGGCGAAAUGGAUUCACAGCCAAAAAAUGUUGGAAUUCUAGCCAUGGAAAUUUACUUCCCUCUCACUUGCAUCCAGUAGGUAAAAUCUUGUUUUACACAUCGAAAACACUAAUAUAAAUGUUUGAAUGUACCCAGG
rnacentral:lncRNA from 1 species